UAGGGAAUAUUAGAAAUGGACGAAAGUCUGAUCUCGCCACACCGCGUGUGCGAAGAAGGCCUUCGGGUCGUAAAGCACUUUUUGGAAGGAAUAGGAAGGAAUGUACUUCCAGAAUAAGUCUCGGCUAACUACGUGCCAGCAGCCGCGGUAACACGUAGGAGGCGAACGUUAUCCGGAUUUACUGGGCGUAACGCGCGUGUAGGUGGUUCUGUAAGUAGGGCGUGAAAGCUCCUGGCUCAACUGGGGGAGGCCGUUCUAAACUACAGAGCUAGAGGGUGGUAGAGGGAGGUGGAAUUCCAGGUGUAGCGGUGGAAUGCGCAGAUAUCUGGAGGAACACCAGUGGCGAAGGCGGCCUCCUGGACCAUUCCUGACACUCAGACGCGAAAGCUAGGGUAGCAAACG
rnacentral:rRNA from 1 species